GUAACGGCGAGUGAAGCGGGAUGAGCUCAAAUUUAAAAUCUGGCUGGUUUACUAGUCCGAAUUGUAGUUUAAAGAAGCGUUUUCGGUGGCAGCCUGGGUAUAAAUCCUUUGGAACAGGGUAUCAUAGAGGGUGAGAAUCCCGUCUUUGACUCAGUGCAUGCUACUAUGUGAUACGUUUUCAAAGAGUCGAGUUGUUUGGGAAUGCAGCUCAAAAUGGGUGGUAAAUUUCAUCUAAGGCUAAAUAUUGGCGAGAGACCGAUAGCGAACAAGUACCGUGAGGGAAAGAUGAAAAGAACUUUGAAAAGAGAGUUAAACAGUGCGUGAAAUUGUUGAAAGGGAAACGCUUGACACCAGUCAUGCGAGCGGAAAAUCAGUCUUUUGCAGUGGGGAGUUGUGUGGGUUCGGACCGCAAGGCCGGCCUGCGCUGCAUCUCUGCUGUAAGUGAUGCACUUUUUCGUUUGCAGGCCAACAUCAGUUUCUUCUGCUGGACAAAACUCUUGAGAAGGUAGCAGCUUUGGCUGUGUUAUAGCUCUUGAGCGAUACAGUGGAGGGGACUGAGGUUUUCGCAGCGCGUGCUCUCGGGCAAGGCUGAUUGGGUGCUAUGGGAUCGUUCGGUGUACAAUGCAUGCAUUUUGCGCCGUGUCUUUUCUAUACUCGCUCAACUCGGCUCUUCCGCGCUU
rnacentral:rRNA from 1 species